UUUUGAUUCCUUUAAUUUAUGCCAAUCGAUAGACAUCGUCCGCUUUUGUUAACGGUUCUGCUGAAGUUCUGUUUGUGAUGUACAGUGUGAUCAUAUGUGUAUUACAAAGCUUUGUAGUCAAAUAUAUAAUAAUGGCCUUCUGUGGAUUAUUAAAUUUUAAAUCGGAAGUUUGAUUUUGGAGGGAAAAUAUAGAUACAGCAAUAAAAACUAGAGUAAAAGGACAUCCAAUAGAACUGAAAGCAUGGCGAGCUUUUCUGAACCACCUCCGCCAUAUUAUCCAUCAAAUCAACCUCUAUUGGAACAACAAGGGCAACAAUAUGUUAAUCAAUUUGUUCAACAGAACCCACAUGGUUUCGUUCAAGCACAUCCUUCAAAAGAAGGAUUCAGUGACAUUACCCAUGGCUAUGGGUAUAUGCAGCAAUCCCAGGUGCCGCCACCAAUAAUGAACACCACAACUACUAAUGUAGUGGUGUGCCAGGCACAAGCUGGACCAACACUAAUUAUUAAUCCAGCUCCGUACAGCUAUAUGACACCAGCAAUUUUGACCUGUCUGUUUUGUUGCUGGUGUACUGGUAUUGCAGCUAUCAUUGCGGCAUCAAUGUCUCAAAGUCAGUCCAGUGAAAUGAAGUACGACGAGGCAAGAAGGUCAGCUAACAUAGCUAGAAUCCUUAUCCUCGUGACCUUUUGUUGCGGUAUUGCCGGUGUUAUUAUAUUUGUAGCUGUGUCAGCAGCUGGGCAGUAAAGUUAAAUAUCAUCUCGCCCAGUUAUUCUGCUUUAACUAUCAAAUAACGAUAUUUAUGUUAAAUAAGUUAUAAAGAAAAAUGUAAAGUAUUCUUUUAUUAAUAUUAUGUAAAUAGUCAAAUUGUUGAGUUUUCCGCAUUGACAUGCACUUGUUAAGCAAUUUCUGUGACACCCCUCUGGGCAGGAACCCAAGCAAAAAGUAUAGGUGUAUCCUGCAAUCAGUCAACUAUUAUUGUACAAAUAACAAGUAAACAAAUUGAUGUUCGCUUUUUUAUGAGUCAACUAUUAUUGUACAAAUAACAAGAAAACAAAUUAAUGUUUGCUUUAUUUAUUCUUGUACAAAAAAGUCUUCUGUUAUCCUUUCUCUGUGUUGUUUGAAUAGUAAUGUCAAUGUUCUGUUUAAGUCUUUCUUCAUUUUGGAAUCUUUUUCGCGGUGAUGAAGUCGUACCCUUAAUGCAGAGAGACUUUGUCCAUGUUUUCUUAUUUAAUGGGCUUCUGUGGAAGAUAAAUGAUGACAGAAGUUUGGGGCGUUUUGAAUCGUUUGAUUGCUAUCCCACUCUGAAUAUGGCACAUCAUCUUUUAUUCAUUUAAUUAUUUAAACGGAAAUUAAUAAGAAAUAAAAAUGAUUCAAUAUCUUUUCACCUUCUGUAUAGAUGUUGUUGUCCCUCAAAACAAUGUAUUUCACUUAUUUGUACUUUAUGAAUAUUUAAAUAUCGAUCUUAUGUCCUACCUCUAAAAAUAUGAAAUUCAUUUCCCCUGUAGUAUUUAAUGUUUUGACAUAUUAACAUUCACACUAUUACUCAUUCUCUUUACUAUUCAUUAAUUUGGCAUCAGGUUCAGCGAAUUGCUGUCUGAAAAUCUGUAAUUGUGUUAAUGUUGAGCAUCGUAGUCAAAACAAAUAUAUCCUCCUUUAACUCAUUUAAAAUGCAUCUUUUACAAAUAUGGCACCAUGAAAAUUGAAAAAUGUUUUAUUUAAAACCAUACAUGUACAUGUAUAUUGAUGAAAAUAUCAUUAAAAAAGUUAAACUUU